rnacentral:misc_RNA from 1 species
AACGCAUAUUGCGCCCCUUGGCAUUCCGAGGGGCAUGCCUGUUCGAGCGUCAUUAUCACCCCUCAAGCCCCCGGCUUGGUGUUGGACUCAGUCGUCGCUCGUCCGGUGACUGGUCUCGAAGACAGUGACGCCGUCCCAGAGGGAACCGGUACGAGGAGCUUUCUUAAUCGAAGCAUGUGCCGGGAAGACUUUCGCGGGCGGUGGUCUCUUACACCCACAAAUUUUUCAAGUGUUGACCUCGGAUCAGGUAGGAAUACCCGCUGAACUUAA